AUUGAACGCUGGCGGCAGGCUUAACACAUGCAAGUCGAGCGGAGAUGAGGUGCUUGCACCUUAUCUUAGCGGCGGACGGGUGAGUAAUGCUUAGGAAUCUGCCUAUUAGUGGGGGACAACAUUCCGAAAGGAAUGCUAAUACCGCAUACGUCCUACGGGAGAAAGCAGGGGAUCUUCGGACCUUGCGCUAAUAGAUGAGCCUAAGUCGGAUUAGCUAGUUGGUGGGGUAAAGGCCUACCAAGGCGACGAUCUGUAGCGGGUCUGAGAGGAUGAUCCGCCACACUGGGACUGAGGCACGGCCCAGACUCCUACGGGAGGCAGCAGUGGGGAAUAUUGGACAAUGGGGGGAACCCUGAUCCAGCCAUGCCGCGUGUGUGAAGAAGGCCUUAUGGUUGUAAAGCACUUUAAGCGAGGAGGAGGCUACUGAGACUAAUACUCUUGGAUAGUGGACGUUACUCGCAGAAUAAGCACCGGCUAACUCUGUGCCAGCAGCCGCGGUAAUAC
rnacentral:rRNA from 1 species